CGUAGGCGCAAGCGUUGUCCAGAUUUAUUGGGCGUAAAGAGCUCGUAAGCGGUUUGUCGCGUCAAAUGUGAAAACCCCGGAACUCAACUCCGGGCCUGCAUUCGAUACGGGCAGACUUGAGUACUGCAGGGGAGACUGGAAUUCCUGGUGUAGCGGUGGAAUGCGCAGAUAUCCAGGAGGAACACCGGUGGCGAAGGCGGGUCUCUGGGCAGAAACUGACGCUGAGGAGCGAAAGACGUGGGGAGCGACAGGAUU
rnacentral:rRNA from 1 species